rnacentral:rRNA from 1 species
UACGUAGGUGACAAGCGUUGUCCGGAUUUACUGGGCGUAAAGAGCGCGCAGGCGGUCGAUCAAGUCGAGUGUGAAAGCCCCCGGCUCAACUGGGGAGGGUCAUUCGAUACUGAUCGACUCGAAGGCAGGAGAGGAUAGUGGAAUUCCCGGUGUAGUGGUGAAAUGCGUAGAUAUCGGGAGGAACACCAGUGGCGAAGGCGACUACCUGGCCUGUUCUUGACGCUGAGGCGCGAAAGCUAGGGGAGCAAACGGG